AACGCACAUUGCGCCCGCCAGUAUUCUGGUGGGCAUGCCUGUUCGAGCGUCAUUUCAACCCUCAAGCCUGGCUUGGUGUUGGGGCUCUGCGCCUGCAGGCCCUCAAAUCCAGUGGCGGACACGCUAGGUCUCCGAGCGCAGUAGUUUCUCCUCGCUCAGGGCGUCCGGCGUGGGCUUGCCUCGCACCCAUCUUAUCAAGGUUGACCUCGGAUCAGGUAGGAAUACCCGCUGAACUUAA
rnacentral:misc_RNA from 1 species